GGAAGAGGUGAAUUUGGCCAGCAUAUUAAGAACCUUCCAGAUGGAAAACCUCAAUGAGGACAGCAAAUUCACAGUAAUUGGCACGACGGAAGAAAAUACUGCCUAGUGCCUGUGCAGCCUGGCAAAAAGUUACUUUGCAUGGCAUAAAACACCAGUCAGUGAAUAUGUUGGUGAAACAGCUGAUGAUUAUGGCGGACCUCAAAGAGAGUUCUUCAGUUCUUCGAACUUCCCCUUCUUUAUGAUAGAUUGUUAUUGAUAGAUGUCCAGACAUUGCUUUGAGUUUUUGAAGGUUUGGGAGGACAUCUUUUUUUCACGUAUGACCAGGCAGCUUUGGACAGCAGCAAAUUCUAUACAGCUGGCAAGCUUAUAGCCUGGUCUAUAAUCCAUGGUGGGCCAGGAAUUAAAGCCUUGGAUCCUCAUUUGUUCCAGCUGAUGUGUGGCCAGACAGUAAAACUGGAAAAGUUUAACAGCCAUCAUUUUCCAAAUGUUGAUAUUCAUGAAAUGAUUAGUCAGAUUUCACAGUGCACACCUCCUGCAGAUGUUUUUACUCUACGAGCACAACCAGGAGACUGGAUUGCAGACUGUGGAGUCCCGGGAAUUUUUACUGCUGGACUUGCAGAUAGAGUGGAACCUCAGUUUACGAGUGUUUUGCGAGCUAAAUUUUUUAAUAAAUUUUGACUUGAUAAACGA